UACGGAGGGAGCUAGCGUUGUUCGGAAUUACUGGGCGUAAAGCGCACGUAGGCGGCUUUGUAAGUUAGGGGUGAAAGCCUGGAGCUCAACUUCAGAAUUGCCCUUAAGACUGCAUCGCUUGAAUCCAGGAGAGGUGAGUGGAAUUCCGAGUGUAGAGGUGAAAUUCGUAGAUAUUCGGAAGAACACCAGUGGUGAAGGCGACUCACUGGACAUCUGUUGACGCUGAGGUGCGAAAGCGUGGGGAGCAAACAGG
rnacentral:rRNA from 1 species